GACACCAGACAAUGCUGUUUUCCCAAGAGCUGAGCCCUGUUCUCAGACUCACAUGGAGCAGAGCAGGCUUCGAAAUGCCUGAGGUCCGGAGGCUGAAGGCUCAGGUGAAGCGGGGCAAAGACCCUGUGGCGGAGCCAGGGAUACUAAGGCACACCAGAAAUACUGCUGAAAUGACAAGCCACAGGCAUGACGGAUCCAGGGCGAGAAAUGACUUACAGGAAGCAGGCUCAGUCAACAACAGUGAGAACCCCGACUCGGGAUGAGGGGAUCAGAGAACGGGGCUGCUGUCGCCGGAGUCGCCGACCCUGUGCCCGGCCGCACACUCACCCAGCAGCAGCAGCUUCAGCUCCCCGCGCUCUUGCUUCUUCUGUUCCAACAAGAUCUUGUUGAUCUCCUGGUCGAUUCUGGCAGCCGUCUUCUCCUCCUCCGUCAGGCACCAGGGACAGCAGCCCCAGGUCAGAGACCUGGCCAUGGUGGAUGUCUCACAGGACAGCAGGUGACAUGGUUCCUGGGGCCCUCACAGCCCCAGCUAUGGGACUCUUCCUUCUCUGGAUGGAGGGGGGUGGGGGCCGCUCCAGGGGCCCUGAGGUUCCUGCCUAGGGCAUGCAGGAGCCCAGCAAGGGCUACGAGAGAGGCCUGGGUGCUGGAAACAGGGCGGGGACCUGGGUGCUGCCUCCCGCCCCCUCCAACUUGCCUAGACCUGGCCCUGCCCGCCAGACAGGUCGGUGGCGAGGCGGGAGGCUCCAGCGAUGGGAGGGAGGGGUGGCUGCCUCCUCACAGCCCGGUCCCCGUGGUGUCUGGCUUGGGCCUCCUUCCUCCUUUCCAGAGAGGGUGGCCUCACCCCUGAGCCUCUGACGCUGCUGGCCCCAGCUGGCCCCCUCCUCUGGGCCAAGAAGGAAGCAAGAAUGGGCACAGCUAUUGCUCAGAGAUCCUUUCAGAACGGCUGAGGUGGGAGGGAAGCCCGUGCUUCCGUGUCUGUCUGGGCUCCCUCAGCACACACCCCAAUUUGACAGCUGAGGAAACCGAGGCAUGGGGUAAAGGCAGGGGCUUUCCCGAGGAGAGAGGGGGGAAGCCGAGGGAGCUCACGUCUGGCACCCUGGGUCCCAGAGAGAUCAAAAGAAGCAGAAGAACCAGAGAGGGCCUGGGGCCUGCAUUCCUGAAGCACCUAGACGGGGAGGGCUUCUGUCUUGCUCCACAUGGGACAAAGCAGAACUUUUUAUGUGAAGUCGGGGGUGACAGCUGCGCCCCAGCCUGACGCGAGUUGUCCCCAGGCUCAAGUGGCGGGAGGAAAACCCAAUUCUACAGGUUGCCCUCUGCCACCCACCUAAAACCAAAACCAAACAGAAUGAUGAACCCCUCAGGGCGCCAGGUGGUGACACAUUCUAAGACCAAAGUGAGGCAGAGCUGUUGACGGCUGGGGGCGUGGCUUUAAAGAGUCUGCAGAGGGCACAGCGACACUAAAGGACUUCGGGAGCUGAAUCUCCGCGCACGGCCCCAGGCUCCUCAAACUACAAGCUCUAGACCACUCGGGCUCCCAUAGCUCUAGUCCGCAGGGAGCCUGCGGGCCUCACGACUUGCCGCCAACGAAGCAAAGGCGAGGUUCAGAGAGGGCGCGCACAGCCCCCAGGGAAACACAGCUUCUGCCGUCUCUCCCUCCCGCGCCCCAGGGUUUCUCUGUGUGGAACUGGCUGUCCUGGAGCUCACUCUGUAGACCAGGCUGGCCCCAGACUCCAAGCUCUGACUGCCCCUGCCUGCCCACCCUGAGUUCUGCUUACAUGUCCACCUGCACGACACAAGAGGACAUCAGAUCUCACUAUAGAUGGCUGUGAGCCACCAUGUGGUUGCUGGGACUUGAACUCGGGACCUUUGGAAGAGCAGCCAGUGCUCUCAACGUCUGAGCCAUCUCUCCAGCCCCUGACCUUUUUUUUUCUUCUUCUAAGAAAAAAGCUGGAUGGUGGUGGCUCAUGCCUUUGAUCCCAGCCCUUGGAAAGCAGAGACGGGCGGAUCUCUGAGUUCCAGGCCAGCCUGGUCUUCAGAGUGAGUUCCAGGAUAGCCAAGGCUACACAGAGAAACCCUGUCUCAAAAAACAAAAGCAAACAAACAAAUCUCUUUCUUCUGUGUGUGUGGAUGCUCUGCCAGCGUGUGCAUGGAGUGCCCACAGAGACCAGAAGAGGGCAUUGGAUUGCCCAGAGCAGGAGGCACAGGUGUGAGUGCUGGAUUUGAACCCCUGUCCUCCGAAGCUCAGCCAGACCACAGCUGCGUGGCAACCCACUACAUGGCUGUUGCUGAGCAGCACCCAUGAGCACACUUGCGGACCUGCUGAUGACUUUCGGUUUAUGUCACUGCCCUUCCUGCAUAUGGCGUCCAGCCGCAAGGCCGCCCUCGAACCCAGGACCCUCCGUCCCUAGCUGCAGUGACGG